ACAAGCGGUGGAGCAUGUGGUUAAUUCGAAGCAACGCGAAGAACCUUACAGGCCUUGACAUGCAGAGAACUUCCAGAGAUGGAUUGGUGCCUUCGGGAACUCUGACACAGGUGCUGCAUGGCUGUCGUCAGCUCGUGUCGUGAGAUGUUGGGUUAAGUCCCGUAACGAGCGCAACCCUUGUCCUUAGUUACCAGCACGUUAUGGUGGGCACUCUAAGGAGACUGCCGGUGACAAACCGGAGGAAGGUGGGGGAUGACGUCAAGUCAUCAUGGCCCUUACGGCCUGGGCUACACACGUGCUACAAUGGUCGGUACAAAGGGUUGCCAAGCCGCGAGGUGGAGCUAAUCCCAUAAAACCGAUCGUAGUCCGGAUCGCAGUCUGCAACUCGACUGCGUGAAGUCGGAAUCGCUAGUAAUCGUGAAUCAGAAUGUCACGGUGAAUACGUUCCCGGGCCUU
rnacentral:rRNA from 1 species